UUUUUGCCAUUUUCAUUUCUCUUAUCCAUCUUCUCCUUCUUCUUUUUCUACUUCUUUUCUUUUUGAUCAAUGAGUUGAAGGUUGAUAAGUUAGCAUUGAUUAGGGAGAUUUAACCUUCCUUGAUUCAAAUCUAAUUCAUCUUGAUCAAUUGAUCAAGUGAAUGGCUUUGCAUUAGGGAUAGGUUGUCUUCUAAAUCAUGCCAAAGGCUUAAACCAAUACA
rnacentral:lncRNA from 1 species